rnacentral:lncRNA from 1 species
CGACCACUGCUGAGAGGCGGGCUCCCCCUGUGCCGGCUGGUCCUGUGGCUGAGGAGAUGUCAUGUGGAUGUCCCCGCACGGCCCACUCCUCCUGGACCCACGGGUCACUCUGGUGGCUUCUUGGUAGGACAGAAAAGAGACGUGACAAGUGGUAUUGGGGCCAAGUCGGAAAGGCAGCACGCUGACUGCUCAGAGCUGUUGUUGCACAAUAAUGCUCUGGGCUCAUUCAUUAGGCAGAAGCUCGUGGGGAUGGGCUCUGGGCAGCGCUGGCCUGAAACACGGAAGCCAUUUGCGGACUAAAAGUUUAAGCCUGGAAUGCCAGCUCUCAUUUACGUUCCCCCUCGAGGUCAGGGAGCCACAGGAAAGAGCAAAGGCUGAGGGAGGAGAGGCCCCCCGGAUGGGUCCUGCAUGCCCUUUCUGCCCUGACCUGGAAAAUUCACCUGGAAAACCCAUGAGGCUCCCAGGGCAGAUGGCCUCACGUGACCCAGAUGUCAAGCCAUCGCGAUUCCUAGAGGGAGCUUGGCAGGUGAGGUUGGGGGGUGGGGUGGGGGGUGGGGCAGGUGGCAAGAGAAAGGGAAAGAGAGGCCACCUGAAGAGGUGGCCACUGGUGGCUGCGAAAGGUCAGCAAAGAAAUGGGGACCAAGCGUCCUGUCUGUACAGAUGAGUUUCCCAAGGCAUCUGGCUUUGCUUUGCAAACACCGGCUGGCUUCCCUGUCAUUUCCGUCCUCUUGCCUUUGGCCUUGGCUCUGAC